AGCUUUUACAAUUGAUUCUCCUUUUGUUUCGUUUCUAUCAUUCAUUCAUUCAUUCAUCACAAUCACAGUGUCCCACUCCCACUGACGGCGACGGAGGACCAUCGAACCCACCCACCCACCUAUUAAAAAACCAAACCAAACAAACCCUAAACCCACACUCCCUCACUCACUCACUCACUCUCAUUUCGUGCCUCCGUCACCGGAACCCUAACACCACCGCACAAUGUCAAUGGCCCACCGCUUAACCCACCUCCGCCACCACCUCAACCUCCCUCUCUCUCACUCUCGCCACCACCACCCCCUCGCCGCACCCACCACCCUCCGCCCUUCCCCCUCCCCGCUCCGCCCCAAUCUCCUCCGCUCCUCCCUUCACAAACCCAUCUCCGCCUCCGUCGCUACCCCCGCCGCCCCCACUCUCCCGGCGACGGACAGCGCCGGGAAACUAGGCAAGCGAACUGACAUCAAGAAGAUUCUCAUCCUCGGCGCUGGCCCUAUCGUGAUAGGGCAAGCGUGCGAGUUUGACUACUCAGGAACCCAAGCAUGCAAGGCGCUGCGAGAAGAAGGGUAUGAAGUUGUUCUCAUCAACUCCAACCCUGCCACCAUCAUGACCGACCCGGAAACCGCUGACCGGACCUACGUUACCCCCAUGACGCCGGAGCUUGUUGAGCAGGUUCUCGAAGCAGAGCGCCCUGACGCGCUUCUCCCCACCAUGGGCGGCCAGACCGCGCUCAACCUCGCCGUGGCCUUAGCCGAGAGCGGCGCGUUGGACAAGUACGGUGUAGAGCUUAUCGGAGCCAAGCUGGAGGCGAUUAAGAAGGCGGAGGAUAGAGAGCUUUUCAAGGAUGCUAUGAAGAAUAUUGGGAUUAAGACCCCGCCUUCCGGCAUUGGGACUACCCUUGAGGAGUGUUUGAGAAUUGCCGGAGAAAUUGGCGAGUAUCCGGUGAUCGUUAGGCCCGCGUUUACCCUGGGUGGUACCGGGGGUGGUAUCGCGUAUAAUAGAGAGGAUUUGGUGGAGAUUUGUAAGGCUGGGAUUGCUGCUAGUUUGACGAAUCAAGUGUUGAUUGAGAAGUCGUUGCUCGGUUGGAAGGAGUAUGAGCUUGAGGUUAUGAGGGAUUUGGCUGAUAAUGUUGUGAUUAUAUGUUCCAUUGAGAAUAUUGAUCCAAUGGGGGUUCACACUGGGGAUUCUAUCACUGUUGCGCCCGCGCAGACUUUGACGGAUAAGGAGUAUCAGCGCCUCAGGGAUUAUUCGGUUGCGAUAAUAAGGGAAAUUGGGGUGGAGUGUGGGGGUUCCAAUGUGCAGUUUGCUGUUAACCCGGUGGACGGAGAGGUUAUGGUGAUUGAGAUGAACCCCAGAGUGUCCAGGUCAUCUGCUCUGGCAUCAAAGGCAACUGGGUUUCCGAUCGCGAAAAUGGCGGCAAAGUUAUCCGUCGGUUAUUCGUUGGAUCAAAUCCCAAAUGAUAUAACAAAAAAGACACCUGCUAGUUUUGAACCCUCCAUAGAUUAUGUGGUUACAAAGAUUCCUCGGUUUGCUUUUGAAAAAUUUCCUGGCUCACAGCCAAUAUUGACAACACAGAUGAAAUCAGUAGGGGAGUCGAUGGCAGUAGGGCGAACCUUCCAAGAGUCCUUUCAAAAAGCAGUGCGCUCUCUAGAAUGCGGCUACUCUGGAUGGGGGUCUGGACAUGUGAAGGAGUUGGACUAUGAUUGGGAGCAAUUGAAGUAUAACCUUAGAGUUCCUAACCCAGAGCGCAUCCAUGCCGUAUAUGCUGCGAUGAAGAAAGGGAUGCAAAUUGAUGAAAUCUUUGAGCUGAGUUUUAUUGACAGAUGGUUUCUCACACAGCUCAAGGAGUUAGUUGAUGUGGAAAAUUUCUUGCUGUCUCGUAGUUUACUUGAUUUGACUGACAAUGAUUUCUAUGAGGUGAAGAGAAGAGGAUUUAGUGAUAAACAGAUAGCAUUUGCCACUAAGUCCACCGAGAAAGAAGUCCGAGUUAGGCGACUAUCACUCGGUGUUACCCCAGCGUAUAAACGAGUUGAUACCUGCGCUGCAGAAUUUGAAGCUAAUACUCCUUAUAUGUACUCUUCUUAUGAUUUUGAGUGCGAAUCAGCUCCCACUAAAAGAAAGAAGGUUCUAAUUUUGGGUGGAGGACCAAAUAGAAUUGGUCAAGGGAUUGAGUUUGACUACUGCUGCUGUCAUGCAUCCUUUUCUCUGCAGGCAGCAGGAUAUGAGACAAUUAUGGUGAAUUCAAAUCCUGAAACUGUCUCCACAGAUUAUGACACUAGUGAUCGUCUCUACUUUGAACCCUUGACCGUUGAAGAUGUUUUAAACAUUAUUGAUUUGGAGAGGCCUGAUGGUAUCAUUGUACAAUUUGGAGGUCAAACGCCAUUGAAGUUAUCUCUCCCCAUACAAAGAUAUCUAGAUGAACAUAAGCCAGUUUGCGCUAGUGGGGAGGGUCAUGUCCGCAUUUGGGGCACAUCUCCUGAUUCCAUAGAUAUAGCUGAGGACAGGGAGAGGUUCAAUGUGAUGCUUCAUGAACUAAAGAUCAAACACCCAAAAGGUGGAAUUGCUAAGAGUGAAGCCGAUGCACUUUCCAUUGCAGCCGAAAUUGGAUACCCAGUUGUUGUUCGCCCAUCUUAUGUCUUGGGUGGUCGAGCAAUGGAGAUUGUAUAUAGUGAUGAUAAACUCGUGACUUACCUUGAAAAUGCUGUUGAAGUGGAUCCAGAACGCCCUGUAUUAAUUGACAAGUAUUUAUGUGAUGCCAUUGAGAUUGAUGUUGAUGCACUUGCCGACUCUUAUGGCAAUGUUGUAAUCGGUGGGAUAAUGGAGCACAUUGAACAGGCUGGAAUACACUCUGGUGACUCUGCUUGCUCUAUUCCCACAAGAACUAUUCCAUCUUCAUGCUUGGAGACUAUCAGGACAUGGACUGAAAAUUUGGCCAAACAGCUGAAGGUAUGUGGGCUCAUGAAUUGUCAGUAUGCAAUAUCUCCAUCGGGAGAGGUAUUUUUGCUUGAGGCCAAUCCUCGAGCUUCUCGUACUGUCCCAUUUGUAUCAAAAGCAAUUGGCCAUCCCUUGGCUAAAUAUGCUUCCCUUGUUAUGUCUGGAAAGUCUCUUCAGGAUAUAAAAUUUACAAAAGAGGUUAUUCCUAAACAUGUGUCGGUCAAGGAAGCAGUUCUUCCAUUUUCAAAGUUCCCAGGUUGUGAUGUGUUUUUAAGUCCUGAGAUGCGCAGUACAGGUGAGGUCAUGGGUAUUGACCCUUCGUAUAAUAUAGCAUUUGCUAAGGCUCAAAUUGCUGCUGGUCAGAAGUUACCACUUUCUGGUACUGUAUUCCUUAGCUUGAAUGAAGUAACAAAGCCUCAUCUUGAGAAGAUUGCAAAGGCUUUCACUGAGAUCGGCUUUCAGAUUGUUGCUACUGCUGGAACAGCUCUUGCUCUUAAGUUUGUCCAAAUCCCAGCUGAGCGAGUGCUGAAGUUGCAUGAAGGGAGGCCUCAUGCUGGUGACAUGAUAGCCAAUGGAGACAUUCAGCUGAUGGUGGUAACCAGUUCUGAUGACGCACUUGAUCGGAUAGAUGGUCUGGCUCUGAGAAGAAUGGCUUUGGAUUACAAGGUUCCUAUUGUGACAACAAUUAAUGGUGCCCUGGCAACUGCUGAAGCUAUAAAGAGCUUGAAGUCCAAUUCUAUUAAAAUGAUUGCUCUUCAGGACUUCUUUGUUGAUGAAGUUAAAGAAUGAUAAUAAUUGCAGACAACCUCUUUCUCUCUGAAUUGGUUAGGUGAUAGAUAUUAAUUAUUCUGAGGCUGUACAACCGUGUGGAUUUGGGAGUUGCAGAUGAAUUUCUUCAGGAUGCUUUGAUAUGUAGAUUGAAAACGUCCAAAGGAGAUAUGAAAGGUCAUAAUCUGUGUCCUGACUCCUGAGAAAGCACUUGUGCUUUUGUGUAAAAGUUUUGUAGUUUGUUGGAUUUCCAUUUCAUAAUAAUCAAUUUCCUUUUAAAAAUCUUACAACUCCCAUUUGACACUGCUGCUUAGCCAUUCCAUUCAGAUGGCAGUAUCAAACCAAAUACUUUGAGUAGUACAAGUAUAUGUUAAUUAUCUGCUUGUCCCAAAAAAUUAUGAAUAGAUGAAGUGAGGUUAUGAUUAUAACUCUCCUGAACCUUUAGAA